rnacentral:RNase_P_RNA from 1 species
GGGCGGAUAGAACGUAGCCACCCCCGCACCAAUUUGUUUAUAGCGAAGGCUAUAUUCCCAAUUGGUGCGGGGGAGGAAAGUCCGAGCUCCACAAGGGAAGCGUAGUGGGUAACUCCCACCCAUUCUGCUUUAGCAGGGUGAGGAUUAGAGCUACAGAGACGAGUAAGGGUUAACACCCCGAAGUGAAACGGGCAAUCUCUACGCGGAGCAAGGCCAAAUAGUCCCGCCUAUCCUGUUUUAGCAAUAAAACAGGGAAAGAUACCCUUUCAUAUUCCUCUGAAGAAAUUUAGAGGAUAGGCGGGAGGGUUGGCUGCUUGAUACCGCUGGCAACAGCGGUACUCAGAGAAAUGGCUACUUUGGAUAGCGGUUAUUCGCAAUUGACACAGAACUCGGCUUAUUCUAUCCGCCCUUAC